CCCUUCACCCGCUGAUUUCACAUCGCAUUAGCUCUGUGCAAAUGCCGGGCUGUGCCCGCGGUAUAUAAAUCACCGCCCGCCUCGAGUACUUUCCAUUCCGCGAUAUUAUAACUGAUUUAUUAAGGAGAGGGGGAACUUCCAGAGUUAACAUUUUUUGUUGUUGUUGUUUUGUAUUUACUGUGAUUUAAAACAUUGAGGGUUUUCCCCCUGCAGCAAUAUCUUGUCAGCUUUGUAAUUCAUCUACCACCACUUCGGGGGCAGGGAGAAGGACAGAAAGAAAGUUACACUUCCUAGCAAGAAAUCAAAGCCUCCCGAAGAACAGACAAAUACUGCUGGAUGGUGAUUUUUAAAUGAGUGUCAACCAGAUAGUGUCUAAAGACAUGGAAAUGAGAAUGGGAAUAUAUCAGCAACAAGCCUUCCACACACUAGUGCAAUAAAAUGGAACAAAAAAAAUGCAUUAAGAAGUUGCUCUAAUCGUGAGACUCCGGCUCUCUGCAGAGGAGCAGGAAGGAGAGAAACAAAAACCACACACACAAAAAAGACAAGGUUUAAUUAGACGAAACCAACUUUGCUUGUGCCUCAUCCAGGCUUUGGUCAGUGAUGGUCAUGAUCUGAUGGAGGAUGUCCCCGAUGUCCUGCUUUCUGCCGUCGCCGUCUGCCCCUUCGUGUCCGUGGGGAGGAGGCAGAGCCAUGCCCCCCUGCACCGAGUGGCCAGCCAGGUUCACGCCGGCCAGAGUCUGCAACAUCCUGGACUGAUCAUCCAUACCUCCUACCGCAGCCCGAUCAAUGCACUUUCAGACAGCAGCCGGAGAAACGGCAAAGCGGGGAGAGCAGGAGCUUCGCCGUCGGAGGAAGGAGGUUUACGCUUCGAAAAGAAAAUGUGAAUAAAUCUCUGGCUCUUGUAGUCAAUUCAGUU